rnacentral:rRNA from 1 species
CAGCACCUCAAGUUGUCAGGAUGAUUAUUGGGCCUAAAGCAUCCGUAGCCUGCUUUGUUAGUUUUCGGUUAAAUCCAUACGCUCAACGUAUGGGCUGCCGGGAAUACUGCAAAGCUAGGGAGUGGGAGAGGUAGACGGUACUCGGUAGGAAGGGGUAAAAUCCUUUGAUCUAUUGAUGACCACCUGUGGCGAAGGCGGUCUACCAGAACACGUCCGACGGUGAGGGAUGAAAGCUGGGGGAGCAAACCGGAUUAGAUACCCGAGUAGUCC